UCGAGAAUCUUCGGCAAUGGGCGCAAGCCUGACCGAGCGACGCCGCGUGCGGGAUGAAGGCCCUUGGGUUGUAAACCGCUGUCAGGGGGGAGCAAGGCGUAAGCUUGAGCGAGCCCCAGAGGAAGCACGGGCUAAGUUCGUGCCAGCAGCCGCGGUAAUACGAACUGUGCAAACGUUAUUCGGAAUCACUGGGCUUACAGGGUGCGUAGGCGGCCUUCCAAGUCAGGUGUGAAAUCCCCCAGCUCAACUGGGGAACUGCGCUUGAAACUGGAGGGCUGGAGGCAACUAGAGGUGCAUGGAACUUCAGGUGGAGCGGUGAAAUGUGUUGAUAUCGGAAGGAACACCAGAGGCGAAAGC
rnacentral:rRNA from 1 species